UACGUAGGGUGCGAGCGUUGUCCGGAAUUAUUGGGCGUAAAGGGCUCGUAGGCGGUCUGUUGCGUCGGGAGUGAAAACUCAGGGCUUAACCCUGAGCCUGCUUCCGAUACGGGCAGACUAGAGGUAUGCAGGGGAGAACGGAAUUCCUGGUGUAGCGGUGAAAUGCGCAGAUAUCAGGAGGAACACCGGUGGCGAAGGCGGGUCUCUGGGCCGUAACUGACGCGUGAGGAGCGGAAA
rnacentral:rRNA from 1 species